UAACGCGAAGAACCUUACCAGGUCUUGACAUCCUCUGGCAACCCUAGAGAUAGGGCUUCCCCUUCGGGGGACAAAGUGACAGGUGGUGCAUGGCUGUCGUCAGCUCGUGUCGUGAGAUGUUGGGUUAAGUCCCGCAACGAGCGCAACCCUUGAUCUUAGUUGCCAGCAUUCAGUUGGGCACUCUAAGGUGACUGCCGGUGACAAACCGGAGGAAGGCGGGGAUGACGUCAAAUCAUCAUGCCCCUUAUGACCUGGGCUACACACGUGCUACAAUGGGCAGAACAAAGGGCAGCGAAGCCGCGAGGCUAAGCCAAUCCCACAAAUCUGUUCUCAGUUCGGAUCGCAGUCUGCAGCUCGACUGCGUGAAGCUGGAAUCGCUAGUAAUCGCGGAUCAGCAUGCCGCGGUGAAUA
rnacentral:rRNA from 1 species